rnacentral:rRNA from 1 species
UACAAUAUAGCUAUAACAUAGCUAUGAAAUUUCCAUAUUUCUCAUAAUUUAUGUAUCAAAAGAAAUUGUUAUGGAUAUAAAAGCUGUAUAUUAAAGAAGGUUAGUUAUUAUACUAAAUUCUAAGAGAAAUCUAAUAUUAAACAAAGUGAAUUGAAAUAUCUCAGUAACUUUAGGAAUAAAAAUCAAACGAGAUUAUUUAUUAUUUUUAUUAAAGAUAAAUAAGAGCCUUAAAUACCAUAGUUUUAUUAUGAAUAGUUGUAAUAAAACUAAAAAAGUAAAACGGAUGUAUUCUGUUUUGAAUAAAGGGGAACCUUCCCCUAAGGCUAAAUAUAAUAUAUAAGCGAUAGUGAAUAGUACCGUGAGGUAAAUUUAAGAAAUAGUAAUUUUAUAAGCAGCUCGAGUAAAAAUUAAAAUUAAAAAUAAGAGUAUACCUUUUGCAUAAUGGGUCAGCAAGUUAAUUUUAGAUGCAAGUGGUUUUGGGUAAUUAAAAACUCGAACACGAAGAUAAACCAAUUAUGAAAAAAUGAUAAGUAUCUAGAAUUAGACCCGAAGGCUAGUGAUCUUACCAUGGUCAGGGUUAUAAAAGCCCGAACGGGUUAUCGUUGUAUAGAUAUCCGAGGAAUUGUGGUAAGUUAGUGAAAGACAAAACAGACUAGUAUAGCUGGUUUUCCGCGAAACCUAUGUUAGUAGGUAAUUCAAUUUAUAUCUUAGUAGGUACAGAACUGUGAUCUCGAACAAUAUUAAAUAUAAUAUUUUGUUUACAUCGGGGGAUUGUAGUGAUUUUAUCGGAGAGUAUUUGCACUCGGAAGGGCAAAGAUAAAUAUUGAGUAAUCGGACAUAGUAUGAUAAGGUUGUAUGUCUAAAGGGAAACAGCCCUAAACAAAAGUUUAAGGUUCCAAAGUUAUUAUUGAGUGAAAUUAAGGAUGUUUUUUUCAAAAACAAUCAGGAAAUAGGCUUAGAGGCGGCCAUUUUUUGAAGAUCUCGUAACAGAGCACUGAUUAAUAUUAAUAGGAAAAAAUACCAAAAAUUUAAAGGAUCUAAAUAAUAUACCGAAACUUUGUACGCACAAGUUGUGAGGUAGCGGAACAUCGGAUAUGUAACUUUAUAUAUAUUCUUUUAUAGAGUAUAUAAGUAAUAGUAAAAUAGUUAAUUAUAUUCUAUUCUUAAUAAACGGAUAAUAAAAAAAAAUGAUUAAUUAUAGAUUAAAAUAUGUAAAAGUAUUUAUUUAGAAUUAAAAAUUUUUUAUUUUUUUUAUUUUGUUAUUAUGUAUUAGAUAUAUUUAUUUAAAAUAAAAGUAUUGACACAUUUUUUUAUAUUCCGAGAGACAAUGCUGACAUGAGUAACGAAAAAGGACUUACCUCGCCUUAAGCUUAUGGGAUAAACUUAAUUUUCGGUAUCUAAAUAAUUUAUCUAAAGAUAAUUAUGAUGAUCAGAAAGUAUAAAUAUAUAACUCUAAAAUGGGUUAUAAUAAUAGUAAUAUAAAGACCUUUAUAAAGUAGUAAAGGUUCUGGAAAUUUUUUACUAUUAUAACGAAAUUAUUAAUAAUAAAAAUAAAAUAUAUAUAUAUAAUUAUUUAUACUAAACCGUACCUAAAUACUAUCACAAGUAAGCAAGUAGAGUAUACAAAGGCGUUUGAGUGAACAAUCAUUAAGGAACUCGGCAAAUUGACUUCCGUAACUUCGGGAUAAGGAGAGCCAUUUUUAUUAAUUUAACCAAUAUAACAUGUUAUAUUGGAUAAUUAUUAUAUUAAUAGGAAGAGGAGGCACAUAAUAGUGUUGUACGACUGUUUAAUAAAAACAAAGCACUCUGCCAAGAUAAAAUAUCUAAGUAUUGAGUGUGAUGUCUGCCCAAUGUCGGCUGGAUAACGGAUUUUCCUUGAUGUCUAUUUAAGGUUUUGAAGGAUACCCCGAUAAAUGGCGGCCUUACCUAUGAGGGUCCUAAGGUAGCGGAAUACCUUGGCCGUUAAAUGCGGUCUUUGCAUGAAUGACUUAACGAUACAACAGCUGUCUCGAUGAUUGUCUCAGUGAAAUUGGAAUAGCAGUGCAGAUACUGCUUACUUCUAGGUAGACGAGAAGACCCUAUGCAGCUUUACUGUUACUAAUUACAAGAGUUAUCAUAGGUUAAUUGUGAGUGUAUAAGGUAGUCGAAAGAUAACAAUGAAACACCUUUAUUUGUACUUAUUAACACUCUUGAUGAUUUUGAGGCAGUUUAUGCGGGGCACAGAUCCCAUAAAAAGUACCUGGGUAUAUCCAAAGUUCAUAUUGUAAAUAUGUAAAUAUUAAUUUACGUAUAUUUUAAUUUGUGAUUAUUAUAUUGAUAAUAAUACAGUUAUAGUAAGAUUGAAUUCAAUAUGAUUUUUUUAUUUUAAGUAAGAUUUUAACUAUAUGGUGAAUAGAUGUAUAUUAAUCCCUUAAAUUAAGGGCUUAUUUUUAUAUUAAUAUUGUAUAUUUUCUUUAUUAAUAUGAUAUUUAUACUAUACUGUCAAAGUUUAAUGGCUAAAUCUUGCUUUACUGUUUGACUUACAAGUCUUUCAGUCGCGUAAGCGGGGCAUAUGAUCACAAGAUGCAUUAAGGAAAGGUCUUGGAUUAAAGAAAAAGUUACGCUAGGGAUUUAGUUUAAGUCCUCCAAUAUUAUAAAAUAUUGGAAAAUUAUUUGGGUAAAUUUCAAAAACAAUUUUUUAAAUGAAUUUGAAGCGAAACUUAUUUUAGCUAAUAUUAUAUAUAAAAUAAAAUAAGGACGUUCAACGACUAAUAGGUGAGUAUUGCUAACAAUAAUCCUUAUUAAAUAUCCCCAACAUCUUUAUAUAAUAUGUAUAAAUAUUAUUAUAAAUAUAUAAUAA